GACGAACGCUGGCGGCGUGCUUAACACAUGCCAGUCGAACGAAGAGCGAUGGAAGCUUGCUUCUAUCAAUCUUAGUGGCGAACGGGUGAGUAACGCGUAAUCAACCUGCCCUUCAGAGGGGGACAACAGUUGGAAACGACUGCUAAUACCGCAUACGAUCUAAUCUCGGCAUCGAGGAUAGAUGAAAGGUGGCCUCUACAUGUAAGCUAUCACUGAAGGAGGGGAUUGCGUCUGAUUAGCUAGUUGGAGGGGUAACGGCCCACCAAGGCGAUGAUCAGUAGCCGGUCUGAGAGGAUGAACGGCCACAUUGGGACCGAGACACGGCCCAGACUCCUACGGGAGGCAGCAGUGGGGAAUCUUCCGCAAUGGACGAAAGUCUGACGGAGCAACGCCGCGUGAGUGAUGACAGCCUUCGGGUUGUAAAGCUCUGUUAAUCGGGACGAAAGGCCUUCUUGCGAAUAGUGAGAAGGAUUGACGGUACCGGAAUAGAAAGCCACGGCUAACUACGUG
rnacentral:rRNA from 1 species